GUCGACGGAUGACCUUGUGAGACGAGAACUUCCUGAUGCAAUACUUAGGCAGCAUCGACUGGAAGAAAAGAUGGAAAAUGAACUGCUCUGAGCGUACACAGCCAGCAGCCUUUGAGCGUGAAACGGCGCCCAGCAGAUGAAAAAGGCCACCACCACCGCAACUGUAAAGACAAUAAUGACGUCCUAUUGAAUUAAAUACCAGUGAGAGGCAGAGAGUAAAACGAUUUUACUGAUUCUUCUCGUGCGAGAUAAAAUUACAACGGUUGUAAAAUACAAUAUAUAAUGAGAACAAAUCCACUUCAAUUCAUGAUGCCCGUAACAUAUCGAGGAAAAUAUAUAGACAAGUAACAUCGCAAAGACCAUUCGCCUUCAUUUAGUGCUACUUCAAGUCACCUUUUGCGAUUUCAUUACUGUGUAAUGAAACUUAGCAAGAAAAUGAACUUUUAUUACAUUACUAUUCACACUGCUGGAGCAUUCGAUAACAGUUUUCAAGAAAUAAGACAAUUAAAAGACUUUAGAAAUUGACUUUGAAAAUCGAAACACCGAUUCUAACUUGAUUUUAGCUUUUUUUUUAAAUAUUAUUGUAAAAAUGUAGCGCGUAAAAAUGUUAAGUUAAAAAUUAAAUAAUCAUGAAAUAUUACAAAAUCUUUCAAGUUUCUGACAAUUGAAGUCUAAUAAAGAACUUUUUGCGUAAUACAUGUCAGGUAUAGAUGAAAGGAAGAAACGUUUUAUUAAAUGGAAUGGCUGAUGAAAUUUGGAAAAUGCGAUGAUCGUCGAAGCAGUUUAAUUUUGUCAAGAUAAGUCUAAUUGUAAGUAGAUUUUUUUCUUACAAUUUCAGAUAAUCUUGAUUUCCGAAUAUUCAAGUAAAAUUUUCUUGUAACAUCAAAUAUAUUUUUGU